ACGUUAAUUCUUGACUCUUUUGAGCUUGAACAAAACUUUCAAAGCGGUUAAAGGCCUAGUUCGAAAUACAGGAAAACCUUCUAGAUUUUGAAUUUUCCUUGUUUAUCACUGCGCUCCAGUUUCUCUGUCAUCGCACAUGAAAACCCACGGUUGCCGACGCCCCCCACCAAGCCCACUCCUCCGUUCGUUGCCGUGCCGGCGGCGACCUCCUCGGCGAUGCCACCUCCCUUCGACCCGCUUCCACUCCCGCUCCCGCAUCAGGUUAGCCAGGCCUCCAUCCCAUCCAGAGCCUAGACCUCCCAAUUCGGCACCCCGCCGCCACGGAACACCUCGGCGGCCUCCGCCGUCGAGCCAUCCCGGUACAUCCCAGGGCCCACCACAGGUCCGUUUCCGAAAUGCUCUGGGAGAGCCACCGCAGCACCGUCCCCAAACCUCUCGGGAGGGUAGGAUGCCGCUGCACUUGACGCGGUGCCGAGAAAUCAGUAUUAGCCUCCGUCAUGUGAUUAGGUGCUGUCGCACUCGCACAUCGUUACUUCUCAGGAAUCAAGCAACAGCCUGCAAAACCGGAUGCAUUGGAUUGGGGGCUAUCAGCCUAGUUAGCAUUUGGGCACAAAAAUCAACCAAAUUCGAGCAGACAUGAUGGGUUACAAGGCCUUCCUCAAGCAGAUUGAAGCCUAUUAUGAUGUUUACAUGUCACCCGUCGACUGUUAAUAUGGCCACAGCCCACAAGUAGCUGCUCUGGCUACUUCAUGUGACACUGGUAUGCAACAUUUUCACCAGGCACAUUCAGCUCUAAUCUCUCUCGUAUUUCUGGAAACCUGAGUUCAUAGACAUUUCUUGCAGUUCACAAGUUGAUAUAGUAUUUUUUUUUAUUAUCUGCUUACCUUACCUUACAGUCAUAUAGGAAUGCAUGUAUACAUCAUAUUUGUAAAUUGUGAGUCAGCUGUUCGGUCUCCGGUUGCUCCAAUUUUGUUCACUUGGAACUCAUGUAGAGAAGGAUUUCUUCUUGGAUUGGCAGUUGUUGAUUGAAUUUUCUUUGUUGACUGUGAGUAGAUACUCCAUAUGGACUGAUCUAGUGUUCUCUUAUGAUCUUGUCUACCCGUACAAAUCAUAAUAUAAGGGUUCGGCUAAGACUUUGUCUGUGCUUGGGAAUGGAACUCAAUUA